UACGAAGGGGGCAAGCGUUGUUCGGAAUUAUUGGGCGUAAAGGGUGCGUAGGCGGUUUGGUAAGUCUUGUGUGAAAUCUACAGGCUCAACUUGUAGUCUGCACGAGAAACUGCCGGGCUUGAGUAUGGGAGAGGUGACUGGAAUUCCUGGUGUAGCGGUGGAAUGCGCAGAUAUCAGGAGGAACACCGAUGGCGAAGGCAGGUCUCUGGGCCACUACUGACGCUGAGAAGCGAAAGCAUGGGGAGCGAACAGG
rnacentral:rRNA from 1 species